rnacentral:lncRNA from 1 species
GAGCUGGAUUCAGGUCUUGCCCCAUUAGGAACCCAUUUUCUGACUUUCAGGCAAGUCACAGCUCUUUUUAGGACAUCAUUUGUCUUCCCUGAAGAAUGAGAGGAGAGCCUCGAGUUGUGCUUCUCAAACUUGAGCCAGCAUCACAACCAACUGGAGCUUCUGACUCAGCAGGUCUGGAGAGAGGUUUGAGGAGUUGAGUUUCUAACAGGAGUUCUUUCUACAUUCUAUUGAUACUGAACAGAGCAUCAAGAGCUUGCAUAAUCAUGUCCAAGAAUUAGUGAAAUGAAAGAAUUUGAAAAAUGGGGAGUUAAAGAACCUUCUGGCUAACAAACGGAGCCUUGGCAAUUCCACCCCACCUUGACAUUUAUAGAAGAAAAGGAGACUCCAGGAAGAGCAGAGGAGGAGUCAGGGGAGUAAAAACGAGGCUGGCAUUCUGGACUUGCAUAGUCGAGAGAGCUACUGGUGUGAGGAAGCUGAUGGAAACCCAGCGCUGGCUUUCCAGAUAAUUCUCCAAUGGUUGCCUAUUCCACACGAUCACUUGUCAUCUCAAAACCUAGGAAUUGCAGGAAUGAUCUUUCUAAUAAGACUGUGUCUUCGCUCAGAAGAAUGCAUUGCUCCAUGGAUUAAAGUUGACAUAAUUCAUUAAAGAAGAGUUUGAAGUAUUUGAAGAAUCAAACCUUUUUUUCAAGAAGAAAAUGUUUCUCAAAAAGCCAAUGGGUUAUGAUAAAAAUUCAAACAUAUAAAACAUUUUAUUGUGAAGCAUCUGGUUUAAAC